rnacentral:rRNA from 1 species
UACGUAGGGGGCAAGCGUUGUCCGGAAUCAUUCGGCGUAAAGAGCGUGUAGGCGGUCCGUUAAGUCGGCUGUGAAAGUCCAAGGCUCAACCUUGGGAUGCCGGUCGAUACUGCCGGACUAGAGUUCGGAAGAGGCGAGUGGAAUUCCCGGUGUAGCGGUGAAAUGCGCAGAUAUCGGGAGGAACACCUAUGGCGAAGGCAGCUCGCUGGGACGUUACUGACGCUGAGACGCGAAAGCGUGGGGAGCAAACAGG